AUUGAACGCUGGCGGCAUGCCUUACACAUGCAAGUCGAACGGUAACAGGUCUUCGGAUGCUGACGAGUGGCGAACGGGUGAGUAAUACAUCGGAACGUGCCCGAUCGUGGGGGAUAACGAAGCGAAAGCUUUGCUAAUACCGCAUACGAUCUACGGAUGAAAGCAGGGGACCGCAAGGCCUUGCGCGAACGGAGCGGCCGAUGGCAGAUUAGGUAGUUGGUGGGAUAAAAGCUUACCAAGCCGACGAUCUGUAGCUGGUCUGAGAGGACGACCAGCCACACUGGGACUGAGACACGGCCCAGACUCCUGCGGGAGGCAGCAGUGGGGAAUUUUGGACAAUGGGCGAAAGCCUGAUCCAGCCAUGCCGCGUGCAGGAUGAAGGCCUUCGGGUUGUAAACUGCUUUUGUACGGAACGAAAAGACUCUGGUUAAUACCUGGGGUCCAUGACGGUACCGAAAGAAUAAGCACCGGCUAACUACGUG
rnacentral:rRNA from 1 species